UACAAUUGGUUGGACUUUUGUAACAACUUGUUAGAAAUGGGGUUAGAUGCUUAGAAAUCCAUUAUGUGUUUCACUUGCAUCAUGUUAGUUGAUUAAAAAGUAUAAAAUUUAUUUCAUCUGUUUCUUUUUCCUUUUUUUUUUUUUUUUUUUUUUUUUCUUUUUAAAGACAUACUUGUAGUAUCUUUGACUUUUCAUCUUUUUCUGGAGCACCAUUCAAGGACUGGCUUUGUGUUGAUGCUGCUACUAGACAAAUUUUCUAAAACUUGAAUGGGUUUUGGCAUUUGUGUAUGCCUCCAUGUUUUUUUUGUUGUUGUUUGUUUGUUUGUUUUUUUAAUACAGUACAAUGCAAGAAGAACCUUCCAUCCUUAAGAUCUUUUCAAAAUCCUCCUUUUUAGCUUUGGUAUGACUGUUUUAGAGAUGGAGAGAUUUAAAUAGUCAUUUUGAUGCUGAAUAAUCAUUUAACAUGCUGCAGCUGAUCUUGGUAGAGUGCUGUGUACAACUUAAGUAUCAACAGUGGGGUUUCAACAGAGCUCAGAGUUGCUGCAAAUUUCAGUUCUUGGCAAGAAUGUCAAUUUUGUAUGUGCCAAGUGUCUGUUAUUUAACCAAGCAGAGGAUAUUGAGUUACUGUAGCAGAAGCAAGAUAUCUGAUUCAUGUUUGCAUAUCCUUCUUCAAAACAGAAACAAAGAGAUCUCUCUUUGAACACAACAUGCUUCUCUCACUCACCAUUUCCCAUUCUCAUUCCCUCCAUUUGGCAAUAAAAAAUGAAAGCAUUAGUUAUUUAUUCACUAGUUCAGUGAGCUCAACAGCAGAAUGUGUUGUCCAGUGCUAAAGCAAAGUAGGCAGAAACAAAAACUGCAGCAGCAUAGUAUCCUUCUGAAAGUGGCAGAGUGAUACUCUAUGGUUUUAAAAUUCUGCCAUUAUCAAAUACAGUUUAUUUUGCAUAAUAGGUUGAAGUAUUUACAAAACCAUCAUAAUUUAAAAUCAAAAGUUUUACUGUAGGCACUUGUGCUGGUUUGGGUGGUGACGAGUUUUGAUUUGCUAAGGGUUUUUUGUUUUGGCUUAUUUGUUUUUACGAUAAUUCUUUCUCGCUUUGCUUUUGAUAAGAUUUUGUGUGGUUUGUUUUUUUUUUCUUUUUUUUCCCCAAAAGAUAUAGUUGGGUGCAAUUUAAAUUUGAUGCUGUUCCUUUAACACUUUGUCUUAAGACCACACUUACUGUCAAAACAGAUCAGAUCAGUGUCCAGUCUAAUCCUCCCAGUUAAAUGCAGGGACUAUAAUGGUCUGACCUGUGGGGUCUGCUUUAUGACCUUUCCCCACUCACAGGGUGUGUGUACAACAAUAACCAUGACCCUUGGCUUGAAUACUCGGUGGCUUUGCACAAUCAGAGAACAGUGUAGUUCUCUGCACUGCCUUGGUAGAGGAUAGCACUUGACCUCCUAGAGAAAGUUAUGGUUAAGUCUAUGGAGAAGAGAUGCUGCUGUAGACUGCAAGAGCAUAUUAAAAAAUCAUAAGUGCAGUCUCUUCAGGUACGUUGUAGCUAUUCAUUUUUACUACUUAGAAAUAAGAUCCCUAAGACAUUUUAAGGAUUAUUAUUGUUGAAAAAUGUAGUCAUCGUAGGUCUGUAUGAAAGUAUUUCCAGUACUUGGUCAAGUAUACCUUUUUCUUUUAAGAAAGAAAGAAAACAAACAAACAAACAACACUGUGCAACCUCAAACUUUUGGAUAACUGUAUAAGAGACUUGAUGUAAAAUGAACAAAACAGUUAUGGCCAAAUAGCAACACUUACUUUGAGUUUCAUCAAAACCUUGCGUUUCUUAGUGUAAGACUUUAUAGUUCACCUUACCUUCCUGGUUAGCAGGAGGGACUGGUUUCAAAAGACUGACCUUUGUUGCUGACCUUUGGGUCUAGAAAAUAGGGCAGGAAACGUAAUUGAAACCACUUUGCCACCAGUUUCCAUAUGCUAUUUCAUAUGAGGUUGCUGGUGACAAGUGGGGGGCAGGGGG
rnacentral:lncRNA from 1 species